rnacentral:rRNA from 1 species
GAACGAACGCUGGCGGCAUGCUUUACACAUGCAAGUCGAACGGCAGCACGGGGGCAACCCUGGUGGCGAGUGGCGAACGGGUGAGUAACACAUCGGAACGUGUCCAGUUGUGGGGGAUAACCCAUCGAAAGGUGGGCUAAUACCGCAUGAGCUGGCAACAGGAAAGCGGGGGACCCGCAAGGGCCUUGUGCGAUUGGAGCGGCCGAUGUCCGAUUAGCUAGUUGGUGGGGUAAAGGCCACCAAGGCUUCGAUCGGUAGCUGGUCUGAGAGGAUGAUCAGCCACACCGGGACUGAGACACGGCCCAGACUCCUACGGGAGGCAGCAGUGGGGAAUUUUGGACAAUGGGGCAAGCCUGAUCCAGCCAUGCCGCGUGGGUGAAGAAGGCCU